AUGGCUCAGAUUGAACGCUGGCGGCAGGCCUAACACAUGCAAGUCGGACGGUAGCACAGAGAGCUUGCUCUUGGGUGACGAGUGGCGGACGGGUGAGUAAUGUCUGGGGAUCUGCCCGAUAGAGGGGGAUAACCACUGGAAACGGUGGCUAAUACCGCAUAACGUCGCAAGACCAAAGAGGGGGACCUUCGGGCCUCUCACUAUCGGAUGAACCCAGAUGGGAUUAGCUAGUAGGCGGGGUAAUGGCCCACCUAGGCGACGAUCCCUAGCUGGUCUGAGAGGAUGACCAGCCACACUGGAACUGAGACACGGUCCAGACUCCUACGGGAGGCAGCAGUGGGGAAUAUUGCACAAUGGGCGCAAGCCUGAUGCAGCCAUGCCGCGUGUAUGAAGAAGGCCUUCGGGUUGUAAAGUACUUUCAGCGGGGAGGAAGGCGGUGAGGUUAAUAACCUUACCGAUUGACGUUACCCGCAGAAGAAGCACCGGCUAACUCCGUGCCAGC
rnacentral:rRNA from 1 species